GGGGAAAUGUGUGUGACAGUGAAUGUAAGUGAGUGUGUGUCAGUGAAUGUGUGUGUGUUUCAGUUAACGUGUGUGUCAGUGAAUUUGAGUGUGUGUGUCUGUCAGUCAGUACGUGCGUCAGUUAGUGUGUGCGUCUGUUAGUGAGAGUGUGCAUCUGUCAGUGAGUGUGUGUCCGAGUAAGUGUAUGUCUGUCUAUCAGUGUGUCAAAUCAGUGAGUGUGUGUCAUUGUUUGUCAGUGUAUAUGAGAGUGUGUGUCUGUCAAUGAGUGAGCGUCUGUCAGUCAAAGUGCGG